GCAACGGUAAUUUCAGGAAGUAAAUUUAUUAGAUUACGGCGGAACCGACAGGGAUUGUGGGAACAAAUUCGGACAAGGUCAACCAUGAUAUUAGUUGAAUGAGCAAUCAAAGACUCAACUAGCGGACCAUAGGCUGAUGAGAUAGAGUUUUUUUCGAUUACUGUACGGGUGUUAGGAUUAUAAAAAUUUGAAGGAAGCCCAGAAAACUCACGAAUACAUUCUAACAUAUACGAAGUAGGUUGAUCCCUUAGAUUAACUGCAUUGUUAGCAGUGAUAAGUGCUUGAAGGGAGGAACGGACGUAAGGCUCUGGAGUACGAUUCAAUCUCGUAAAAUCUAAACAAAACUGAUAUACUGCCAAGGAAGAAGCGAGAGUGUGGCUAUUCAAAAUCAAAAGCAUAUCAUCAGCAAAAUACAAAAUUCGUUGAUAAGAAUGCUCAAUGCCAGUAGGAGGAAUAUUCCUCACAGGAGCUGUAGCAACUAAUUGGGCUUGGACGCGAAAAUCCCAAUAUUGCUUUAAUAUGCUCUCCUUGAUAGAUGAAUCAACUACCGAAACCGUGUUCUGAAUCUCGGGUACCAAAUUUUUGAUCAGAUGGAGAGCAUCGAUGGUGGUCUUAAUAUCACUCCUUUCAUACACUCGUAAAAUACCAAUUCGAAGUUGUAUUCUAUUGAGAAUUCCCUCGAUAAUUUGUCGUAACUCGGCAGAAAAUUUUAUAACCUCGGAAGCCAAAUAUUCGAUGCUAGAUUGCAAAAGAUAAUUGAGUUUUUCUAUGGGGUAAUUUUGAAGAAAGGACAUGUGAUAUGAAAACGAACUAAUGUCUUCCUCGUCAUAUAAAUUUCCCAUCAGAAAUUCUCGAUGAACAAUAUCGCAACAUUUAAUAACAGCCAAAACAAAAGGGAAAAGAACGAUGUCAGUUGUAUUCCUUCCGCUACCACUGGAGAAGCCACUGUCACCCACUUGUGAAAUAGGCGACUUGCAAAUGGAGAACACAUGGGCACUACAGAGUAAGCUCUCUGAUAAGGGGGAUCCAUAAUGCCACUCUUUUUCCGCAGAGACAAUUAAAUCCAUUAACGCUAAUAUUUCCAAGUAAGAGAGAUCACGUGAAAAAUCUACACGAAGUGGCUGAUAAUCAAUCCCACUAUCCAUUUUCGGUUCCAUAAUUUCAAAGGCACUGAUUGAAUCCAAUAAUGUAAAUUUUGGAUCACAUACUAGCUGUUCCUCUUUCAGAGAUUUCGUGGCUUCAAAGUAAGACUUUGUACAGUCGACAUAUCCAGCGUUAUCAACAUAACCUUCGUUCCCUUUGGCCGGUUCCACAUUUCCAAUCUUCACAUUUCCUUGCAUAGAAUUAAGCAAUGAUAGGGACUCUUUAACAGACAUAAAAUCGACAAAACACCCCUAUAUUGACCAAUUUUCUAUUGAACGUCUAGUUUAUGGGUUAAUGAAAAGUGUUACUCUGUAAGUCACAACAAAAAUUCCACGCAUAAAAAUGCUUGUUCA